UGACAGCAUCAGGUUAUGAGGAGAUGGGGGCUGUGGUGACUUGUGGGAUCAGGAAUUUCAACCUAGAGAACCGAGCAGAACGGGAAAUCAGCAAGAUGAAGCCCUCUCCCGCUGCAGGCACCCCUCUACCAGCAGCCUCCUGUGAGAGCAGAUUAGCAUCUAUCCAGAAAUUAAGGGAGAGAUUGCCCGUAAAGGUGACAAGCUACUAUCAUUUCUAAAAGGUAUGUAUGUUGAUUCCAAAGAUCCUGUGUCUUCUGUGCAGGUAAAAGCUGCUGAAACAUGUCAAGAGCCAAAGGAAUUCAGAUUGCUGAAAGGCCAUCACUUUGAUAUGAUAAAUAUUAAGAGCAUUCCCAAAGGCAAAAUUUCCAUUGUAGAAAAAUUGACACUUCUCAAUAACCAUAAGCUUUAUCCAGAAACAUGGACUGCUGAGAAAACAGCGCAAGAAUACCAUCUAGAACAGAAAGAUGUGAAUUCCCUUCUUAAAUACUUUGUUACUUUUGAAGUCAACAUCUUCCCUCCUGAAGACAAGAAAGCAAUACAAUCAAAAUGAAGAAAGGCACAAAAAUGUCCUCUGUGUACUCCUUACCCCUCAUCCUGUAUAUUUUCUCAUUUUUAUUAAAUUAUGUUAAUU